rnacentral:rRNA from 1 species
UACGGGGGGGGCAAGCGUUGUUCGGAAUUACUGGGCGUAAAGGGCUCGUAGGCGGCCAACUAAGUCAGACGUGAAAUCCCCAGGCUUAACCUGGGAACUGCGUCUGAUACUGGAUGGCUUGAAUUCGGGAGAGGGAUGCAGAAUUCCAGGUGUAGCGGUGAAAUGCGUAGAGAUGUGGAGGAACACCGAUGGCGAAGGCAGCCUCCUGGGCCAACACUGACGCUCAUGCACGAAAGCGUGGGGAGCAAACAGG